UAUCGAAGGGGCUAGCGUUGCUCGGAAUCACUGGGCGUAAAGGGUGCGUAGGCGGGUCUUUAAGUCAGGGGUGAAAUCCUGGAGCUCAACUCCAGAACUGCCCUUGAUACUGAAGGUCUUGAGUUCGGGAGAGGUGAGUGGAACUGCGAGUGUAGAGGUGAAAUUCGUAGAUAUUCGCAAGAACACCAGUGGCGAAGGCGGCUCACUGGCCCGAUACUGACGCUGAGGCACGAAAGCGUGGGGAGCAAACAGGAUUAGAUACCCUGGUAGUCCACGCUGUAAACGAUGAAUGCCAGCCGUUAGUGGGUUUACUCACUAGUGGCGCAGCUAACGCUUUAAGCAUUCCGCCUGGGGAGUACGGUCGCAAGAUUAAAACUCAAAG
rnacentral:rRNA from 1 species